rnacentral:snRNA from 1 species
GUGCUAAAAUUGGAACGAUACAGAGAAGAUUAGCAUGGCCCCUGCACAAGGAUUACAUGCAAAUUCGUGAAGUGUUCCAUAUAUUU